rnacentral:misc_RNA from 1 species
GAUGAAGAACGUAGCGAAAUGCGAUAAGUAAUGUGAAUUGCAGAAUUCAGUGAAUCAUCGAAUCUUUGAACGCACAUUGCGCCCCUUGGUAUUCCGAGGGGCAUGCCUGUUCGAGCGUCAUUAUAACCCCUCAAGCUCAGCUUGGUGUUGGGGCCUGCUGCACUGGCAGCCCUUAAAAUCAGUGGCGGCGCCAUCUGGCUCUAAGCGUAGUAAUUCUUCUCGCUAUGGAGUCCUGGUGGAUGCUUACCAUCAACCCCCAAUUUUUCUAUGGUUGACCUCGGAUCAGGUAGGGAUACCCGCUGAACUUAAGCAUAUCAAUAAGCGGAGGA